CACCGUCACCGGCCGCAGAUUGGGAUUGUCGCGGCCCGGGACAUCGCCAUCUCCGUCGUCGCCGCCUCCGCCCCCGCCCCCGCCCCCGCCCCCGCCCCGUCCUUUUGCUGGCCUUCUCCCUCCCGUCCUCGUCGUCGAUGACGACCCUUCGUCUCCGCUGAAGUCUGCCAUAGCCUCGUCGGCUUUUGGACGACGAACCCCCGCCUCCGCGGUCUGGUAGCCUCGUCGUCGCCUUUUGGACGACGAACCCUACGUCUUCGCGGUCGGGUAGCCUCGUCUUCGCCUUUUGGACAACGACCCCUCUUCGGGCACUCAUCGGCUUUUGGAAGACGACCCCUCCGUCUCCACGCAGAGGGAACGCAAUUUGUUUGGAAGGGCACAAGGAAAAGUUAUUUGCCUGAGCGUUUCCAGUUUGGAGCUAUCUGAAUUCAAUCAAACCGAAAGGUUUGCUGCCAUAUCCCAGUCCAGGGCUUGCUCUGCAUCCUUGCAAGUUCUCUCUAGGAAUUGACUUACAGUGGAUCACCCACUUCCGAGUUAUUGGAACCAGAUUGUGUUUGGCUUUCGAGACAGUGUUGUUAUUAUCGGUGACAUGCAAGGAACAGGAUUUUUGAUAGGCUCCAAAGACAGAAGACGUCUUAUCUUGACAUGCUACCAUGUCGUAGCGGGCAGUGCUUAUAAAGCUAAAUUGCGAGAUGAAUAUUUGGUCCAAGUUUGCAUUACUGGAUAUGGUUUGUGUUCUGGCCAGAUACUACUUGCCGACGAUGAGAGAGAUGUGGCAUUAAUUGUGGUUACUACAGAUUGUGAUGGUCUUCCAAUGAUUGAACUACCUAAUUUGGAAUUAUCUGAUCGGGUUGUCAAGAAGGACAUGGAAUUAGUCAUGUUGGGUAACAUUUUCAUGCCUAAGGGUGUAAUUAAAGAACCAGGAACCUCUUACGGCAAAUCAAAGGCCAGCAUGUAUCACAAUUCUUUAGUGGGGUGUGAUAUAUUGCCGGUGUCAUAUGUAUCAACCCCCGGGACUUCGGGAGCACCUGUUUUCCUUGUUCAGAAAGGAAGUAGUCCAGAGGUAAUAGGAAUGCAUGCUGGAAGAGUGCAGGGCACUCAAUAUUGUAUUCCAAUGCCAGUGAUAGAAGAAAGUUUGCGCCAGUUGAGUACAAAGAAGGGCUUCUCAAUUCCUGAAAUGAUUGAGAAGAUCCUUUCAGCAGCGUGUCGAAUGAAGUAGGAAUUGCUCAUACACUUUAUUAAAGUGGGACCAAAUGGACAGACCUUGUUGCUGAUGCGGAGAGACGUAAAUGUAUUUUCAGUGCCACUAAUGACGCAACCAUCUGUAAGUUGGUGUUGCAAGUAAGCAAGAGCUUGAUGAACUUGAGGAUCUUAAUGCUGAUUCAGGGGUUUUCAGCAAUACCAGAUGGAAGGUCAUUCUUAGCGACGAGUUUAGAAAGUCUUUCACCAAACUAAAAUCACCACAGCUCAGGAAGGAAGUACUCCAAAAGCUUAUCAAACUUGAAGAUGAUUGGAGGAGAACAGUUAAGAACCUUGAGAUGCCUGGUGCUUCUCAUCUUGCGAAAGUAUACAAGGUCUGGGACCUGUAUCUUGUUUGGACUACUGACGUGAAGAAAACCGAAAGAACGUAUUCCCAGAUAAUAAGAAUUUGGGACCUAUUGUCACAGCAGAAUGUUGCAAGAACUGUUCAACGUCUCGAGAAUCUGUUCUCCAUGUACACGGAUGAUUACCUUGAUCAUUGCAAGAGAGUGGAGACACAGGGGAAACUGGAGGUUCCUAUGGUUUUGGUCUUUGGGAUGUUGUGCAUGAUAUUAUCCGCUAUAACAUGGAUUGCAAAGUUGAUUCUUAUGAAGAGCAUGAUCUCGUGGAUACAUCAUAUGCCAUGGAGAAUCCAAAAGUUAGUGAAAGCUUCCUGCUGAUGAAAUUCUACUCUUUAUCAUCUGGAACGGCAAAGCAUUUGUGACAGCUACUAAUGGGUCUGAAAUUGACAUCCCCUUUGAACAGACUGAUGAAGGGCAGGUGGUUAUCCAAUUCCUGCUCACUAUUUUUAUACUUGGGAGGUCAGGCAGUGGAAAAAACCUACCUUACACUCUACGAAGCUCUGUCUGACUUACCAUUGUGUUCGUUGCAUUGCCAUAGGUAUGGUCUACAUGCAAAAUGGUACUUCUAGAAUUGAGGAAGCUGGUGACUGUUUUGCUAGGGCUGAAUGCUGGUCGGAGACAGCUGAAAUAUUCUUUAAAGCUAAAUGUUACACCAAGUGUUUCUCCAUGUGCUCGAACGGAAAACAAUUAUACAAUCUGGGCUUGCAGUUUCUGCAACAGUUAAGAGGAGGAACAUUCACUUGAGAAUUCAACAUCCUUGGAGGUUUCUGCAAUUAGAACGAAGUAUCUGGAAAAUUGUGCUCAGCAUUAUUUUGAGCGUGCUGACAUAAAGCAUAUGAUGCCCUUUGUUAAAGCUUUCAGCUCUAUGGAUCACGUUUAUAAAUUCUAGAAAUCUAUGUCAAGUUUAGAGAUGGAAAUGGGUAAUUUCCUAGAAGCUGCAGGAAUACCAAAGCAUAAAGGAGAUGUCUUAUUGGAGGUAGAUAUACUCGAGAAAGCAGAUUUGUUUGAGGACGCAACAUGGCUUCUCCAUAUCAUUGUGGAUUCCUUGUGGUCUUCAAAUAGUAGAGGAUGGCCUCCCAAAAGAUAUGCAGAGAAGGAGCAGUUGCUUGCAAAAGCCAAAGAGAUGGCAGAAAAGGUCUCUGAGUGCUUCUACUUACUGCUUUGUUUGCAUGGAAGCUGAUGCACUGUCAGAUGGGAAAAAGUCCCUUUCCAGUUUGAGUUGCACUUUGCUUGAGGGCAGAAAAUGUGCAAACUUGUUAGUUGGACUUGUUGCUUCCUGUUCGAUCCUUGAUGUUCAUCUUCAAUCUCGAGCCUCUGGAUACAAGAUAUAAUCAGGACCAGGAUCUGAAGAUGAAAAUAGCUGCAAUGACAUGCUGGCCUCUAACCAGAUGUCACCCCAAACUCUGUUUUGUGUCUGGAAUCACUGGAAGACGAUCAUAAUCAAAGUAUUAUGUCAUCUUUGCCACACUGAUGGUCCAGAAUUAAAUGAUUAUGCAGUUGUUUAAGAAGAUCUUUGCGCCAAGUACUUUGGAUUGAGAAAAGAUGGUGAAGUUGACAGAUAUGUGGUGCUGAACAUGAAUGCAAGUUGGCUUUCCAAUGCUGACAGGAAUUCUUUGCAGCAAGACGGGAACAGAUGUUUAUUGGGUGCCCCUCAGUGUCGUUCAUGUGCUCAGUGUUUCUUGAUGAAUGAGCUGUCUUCUGUUGGUUUCAGUGUACUUAAGAAGUUGGAGUGGAUUGUUCAAAUUUCUCCAAAGCCGGCAUCUUCGCAUACCCUGGUGAGAACUAUCCUUAUCAUACAUGAGAUAGCCAAGUUUUUGGAAGAACCAGAGUUCAGUAUGCCAAAAGGUUCCAUGAAGUUAAGAAGCUUUUUUGUUCUCUGUGGGCGUUGAUUCUUUGAGUUAGUUUUUCUUGUGUGGAGAGAUGGGACAAUGAGGAGCCUCUUGCAUCUACUUGACUCGCCAGCUGCAUAUGGAUUGGUUGCUGAUUCUCGUGGUGCAGAUCUUCACCCAGCAAAUAAAAAAUUGACUCAUGGGCAUCUUGGGAGAACAACCAUGCUUCUGCUUCAUGCAGCACAAUUGGACGAAGUGCUACUUUCAAGACUACUACAGUACCUGGGCAAUAAUUCUGAGUGGGCAGAUUUUUUUUGAUAUUUCAAGAGAUUUCUUGAUAGUGGUCGGGAUAGAUCCUCCUUGAUCUUCAACUUUAAGCUUGCUCGAGUGUACCUUCAGUGUAAAGUGGAAGGAUGAACUAGACUACAUAUCCCCACCAUGCUAUGUGGGACUGUGGGUCUUAUGGAGUGCCUUGGUUUCUUGGAUUCAUCAUGCUUACUGCAGAAUGAUUUUAUAUGCUGCACGAAAUCUCUGUUGGUCAAUAUGCUGGAAUGCCGUACCAGCAAGGCUUUACACUGACACCUGCCUGGUAUCUAAGUCAAGCUCAGAUUCCAAUUUUGAUGGUUUGGCACACUCAUCAGGCCGUUUCAUAUAUGAGACAAUUGUGACUAUCUUGAUGGCCAAGCAUAUGCUCCAGGAAUGGGUACAUAUGACUUCAUGUCCUUCCAGUACUUCAUACAAAGCAGUCCUCCUGUGACUAGUUGUUACACUUUACCCUCUGAUCCUUACUCUUUCUCUGGGGAAGUGCUAUGAGGUCACACAUAACCUUGUGAGGAAUGAAAUCUUUAAGGAUUUACCGUUGGACUUCUCUAAGAAGAUUGAAGAUGCUUUGAAAAUGAGGUCUCGCACACCUAGCAACUUCACAAGAGUGCUUGCUGAUGCACUUGCCGCAAUCGGAGAUCGUAUGGUAGUUAUUGGUUCACCCGAAGCCCCAGUAAUCUGUCGAAACUUGAAUCCUUGUAUGAUUAGCAAGGAGGAUUUGCAUGAUGUUCCGAAGAUAAUGGCUCUUUGUGUCUUGAAGAAUCAAAUUCUGUAAAGCAAGAUACUCCAUUGCCACAACAAACUGAUGGUAGCAAGUGUCUUGAAGAACCAAGUUCUGUAAAGCAAGAGACUCCAUUUCCAGAAAAAUCUGAUGGUAGCAAGUUCAAAAAUGUUAUUUCUGGAAACAUUCCUGUGACGGUAGAGAUAGUAAAGAUAUGGAUCAGUCCGAGAAAGAGAAAUUCAACCGAUGUCCUUGUGCCUGUAUAGAGGUAUUAAAAGGUAGAGGGUUCGAGCAAGACAGAUUCAACUGGUAUCUUUGACACUCUCUGGAAGAAGCUUGAGACUUUUCUACUCGAUGAGCAAGACCAGAAAGAUGCAAGGGCUGUCUUUUCAAUUUCUUAGAGACGCCCUUCCAUGGCUGGAACAAACAGGCGUUCUAGCAUAGAUUGAUAAAGAACUUGAUGAACACAGUCUGGAAGAGGUCAAGCACAUCUGCAGUGAGUUUGAAAAACUCUCCGACAGGAUGGACAAAAAAGAUGUGGAUGACCUAUACACAAAGUGGGAAGGUGCUGGGAAGACACUGCAGCCGGUCAUCCGCCUUGUGAGUGGUACAGGAAUAUGCAUGAAUGAUUGUAGUGAAUGCAGGAAGUGAAGGUGCAAGGAAAAGGAGAAAGACCCCAGGUUCCCAUCCUCUGCAUUCUGAAGGUGCCCACAGCCAGUUUAUACAAAACUUGUCCAGAUGAUGAGCGAGCUGACAUGGGAGAAGCUGCCUCGACUUCAACAAAGGUGGCGCAGAAGCAGAAAGCAAGAAGAAAUCCAAGGAAACAAAGAAGUCUGACAAGGGCCGUGGCAAGAAGUGAGCUGCUGUAGUUACUUUCCCGCCUUCAAAAAAUAUUUGCGUGCACCGGAGAAGCUUGUUUUUUUUUUGAACGGGCCGGAGAAGCUUGUACGUAAAACCAUUGGAUAAGACAGCAGAAAUGUGUUGCUUCGUGUCUGACCAGGGAAUGCAACUUUUGAACCGGCACAAGACAGAUGCACCCAUGCAUCACGGUGAAGUUCCCGCUAAAUUAUUUAUGAUGAUUGAAUGUGCU